CAGUCGCCGCGGGAAUACAGAGGGUGCAAGCGUUAAUCGGAGUUACUGGGCGUAAAGCGCGCGUAGGUGGUUUGUUAAGUUGGAUGUGAAAUCCCUGAGCUUAACUUAGGAAUUGCAUUCGAUACUGGGAAGCUAGAGUAUGGGAGAGGAUGGUAGAAUUCCAGGUGUAGCGGUGAAAUGCGUAGAGAUCUGGAGGAAUACCGAUGGCGAAGGCAGCCAUCUGGCCUAAUACUGACGCUGAGGUACGAAAGCAUGGGGAGCAAACAGGAUUAGAUACCCCCGUAGUCCCUGUCUCUUAUAC
rnacentral:rRNA from 1 species